UUCGCAAUGCCCGAAAGGGUGACGAUGCGACGCCGCGUGGGUGAGGAAGGCCCUCGGGUUGUAAAGCCCUGUCAGGAGUUAAGAAAUGUAGAUACGCUAAUAUCGUAUCUAUUUGACAAAGGCUCCAAAGGAAGCCACGGCUAACUCUGUGCCAGCAGCCGCGGUAAUACAGAGGUGGCAAGCGUUGUUCGGAAUUAUUGGGCGUGAAGAGCACGUAGGUGGGUUUGUAAGUCAGAUGUGAAAGCCUCCUGUUCAACGGGAGAAUUGCAUCUGAAACUACUGAUCUUGAGUAUAGGAGGGGAGAAUGGAACUUCUGGUGGAGCGGUGAAAUGCGUAGAUAUCAGAAGGAACGCCGGCGGCGAAAGCGAUUCUCUGGCCUAUUACUGACACUCAGUGUGCGAAAGCUAGGGGAGCAAACGGGAUUAGAUACCCCGGUAGUCCUAGCCGUAAACGAUGGGCACUAAGUAGAGGGGUUUU
rnacentral:rRNA from 1 species